GUUCCCUACGGGAGGCAGCAGUAGGGAAUCUUCCACAAUGGACGAAAGUCUGAUGGAGCAACGCCGCGUGAGUGAAGAAGGGUUUCGGAUCGUAAAACCCUGUUGUUAGAGAAGAAAGUGCUUGAGAGUAACUGUUCACGUUUCGACGGUAUCUAACCAGAAAGCCACGGCUAACUACGUGCCAGCAGCCGCGGUAAUACGUAGGUGGCAAGCGUUAUCCGGAUUUAUUGGGCGUAAAGGGAACGCAGGCGGUCUUUUUAGUCUGAUGUGAAAGCCUUCGGCUUAACCGGAGUAGUGCAUUGGUA
rnacentral:rRNA from 1 species